UACGUGAGGUGGCAAGCGUUGUCCGGAUUUAUUGGGCGUAAAGCGCGCGCAGGCGGCUAUCCAAGUCAGUGGUGAAAGCCCGGAGCUCAACUCCGGAACUGCCAUUGAAACUGUUUAGCUUGAGGACGAGAGAGGUGAGUGGAAUUCCCAGUGUAGGGGUGAAAUUCGUAGAUAUUGGGAAGAACACCGGUGGCGAAGGCGGCUCACUGGCUCGUAUCUGACGCUCAGGCGCGACAGCGUGGGGAUCAAACAGG
rnacentral:rRNA from 1 species